rnacentral:rRNA from 1 species
CCUACGGGAGGCAGCAGUAGGGAAUCUUCCGCAAUGGACGAAAGUCUGACGGAGCAACGCCGCGUGAACGAUGAAGGCCUUCGGGUCGUAAAGUUCUGUUGUUAGGGAAGAACAAGUGCUAGUUGAAUAAGCUGGCACCUUGACGGUACCUAACCAGAAAGCCACGGCUAACUACGUGCCAGCAGCCGCGGUAAUACGUAGGUGGCAAGCGUUGUCCGGAAUUAUUGGGCGUAAAGCGCGCGCAGGCGGUUUCUUAAGUCUGACGUGAAAGCCCCCGGCUCAACCGGGGAGGGUCAUUGGAAACUGGGAAACUUGAGUGCAGAAGAGGAAAGUGGAAUUCCAAGUGUAGCGGUGAAAUGCGUAGAGAUUUGGAGGAACACCAGUGGCGAAGGCGACUUUCUGGUCUGUAACUGACGCUGAGGCGCGAAAGCGUGGGGAGCAAACAGGAUUAGAUACCCUGGUAGUCCACGCUGUAAAACGAUGAGUGACUAAGUGUUAGACGGGUUUCCGCCUUUAGUGCUGAAGUUAACGCAUUAAGCACUCCGCCGUGGGGAGUCGGUCGCAAGACUGAAACUCAAAUGAAAUUGACCGGUUNUUGAGACGNGCCGACGGACGACGACGAGGGAGGAGG